UACGAGGCUAGGCCGGGUAGCUAGCGGUUGCCUGUAGAGACCCUUUUCUUUUGGAAAGAAAAGCGUCUACGGAAAAGAAACACAUUAUGAUAUGAUAGGCGGAAGCCGUAGUUUUCGUAGACGUUUUUGAGCAUGCUCAAAAAGGUCUUGGGCAAAACCGUCAGUCCGCUUCAGACGGGGCCGAAGCCCAAAGGCGGUGCAGUCGCUUCAAAAAGCCCGUUGUUCAAGCAACGAAGCCCAGCCCGCUGGGAUUUCUUCUGUAGCAAACCGGGUCAGGCGGGGAACCGAGCAGCCCUAAGUUAUAGUCGGAAUGCUCAGCGGUAUCUGGGUGGAGCAAGAACUCCGGACAAACUUUUUGCAGCUUCUGCAUCCACUGCGGGCGCGCCUCUUU
rnacentral:SRP_RNA from 1 species